rnacentral:rRNA from 1 species
CCUACGGGAGGCUGCAGUGGGGAAUAUUGCACAAUGGGCGCAAGCCUGAUGCAGCCAUGCCGCGUGUGUGAAGAAGGCCUUCGGGUUGUAAAGCACUUUCAGCGGGGAGGAAGGCGUUAAGGUUAAUAACCUUGGCGAUUGACGUUACCCGCAGAAGAAGCACCGGCUAACUCCGUGCCAGCAGCCGCGGUAAUACGGAGGGUGCAAGCGUUAAUCGGAAUUACUGGGCGUAAAGCGCCCGCAGGCGGUCUGUCAAGUCGGAUGUGAAAUCCCCGGGCUCAACCUGGGAACUGCAUUCGAAACUGGCAGGCUAGAGUCUUGUAGAGGGGGGUAGAAUUCCAGGUGUAGCGGUGAAAUGCGUAGAGAUCUGGAGGAAUACCGGUGGCGAAGGCGGCCCCCUGGACAAAGACUGACGCUCAGGUGCGAAAGCGUGGGGAGCAAACAGGAUUAGAUACCCCGGUAGUC